rnacentral:lncRNA from 10 species
CAUUUUGACAAGAGAGUGAGAGACUAAAAGAAGCAAGUCUUCCUUUCUUCUUCAGCUUCUCACACCUGAAGAGCACCCACACCAACAAGGAGAAGGAGAAAACCCAAACAAACCAUACCCACAGCUUGGAGAUGAGGGCUGGUAUUACGAAGAUAAAAAGAACAGCCUUUGCAUCUAGACUCCCUUGAAGAAAAUACAUUUGAAACAUUGUGGUGAAAGAUGUCUGGUUCCCAAGAAGAUGGCAAACAACUCGGGAUACUGGCUUCCAGCAUGAAACCUCAAUUCUUGGUGGUGCCACUGAGGUGAGAGAGGAACUGAUGAUUCCAGAACUUAAAACCCCUAGUUCUCUUUGAAUAGAUCAGUCCAAGAAAUGGAGGGAAGAGAAACCAGACAGGUCAGAUGUUACAAACAUGUUUCAGGCAUGGGAGGGAGCACUUCUCUGCCAUGCACUUUUUCUUCCCCUCAGUGCCCUCUGUGCACAAGCCACCACUGACUACCUGGGGCAGAAAAAUAUUAGUGCCAGCUCAGCACUAGCUGGCGGCAGUAGGACUCAUAUCAGGAUAGCCCUGAAGCCCAGCUGUCAUGAGAAGCUGAUAACAUAAUCUAUACCUUUCUUGAAAUUUCAAUCAAAAUUCCAGGAAGACUUUUUGGAAACUUCAACACACUUAGUCUAACUUGAAUAUGGAAGAAUAAAGAUCCAUGAAUAGCUAAGAUGCUUUUAAAAAAGAGGAGCCAAGAGGGAGGAGGAGUGUGAUUCACCCUAUGAGAUGUUCAGACAUUUAGUAAAGCCUUGGGAAUAAUAAAAAA